GCUUCCUUCAAAUUGGAUUUCGUAGUGAUAUGGAUCUGUUCACAGUCUUAUGGAGGCUGAUGCUGGCAUUUGAAUGCAGUUCCUCGAGGCUUUCCGAUGAGCUAAGAAACUGGAUGAAGCAUGAGUGGAACCAGUUGUCUUGGACUGGCUGAAAUGAGAGGUGAGGAUAAAGGAACAUCAGAAGCUUUGAGAUGGUGCAUGAGAUGUAUUUGAUACAGUCCACCUCUUGAACAGCUCAGCUAUGCUUUUGCCUUCUAAGUUCAAACAAUACACAGUCUCCUUCAGCGUGGUAGCCACCACAAUCUCUGCAAAGACUUCAUGCAAAGGCGUUAAUGAACCAGGUUACCAUAUUACUUACAGCUGGUCCUGAGGCUGUGAUUGAUAUUCAAUAAAUUUCUCUUUCACCAACCAGUCUAGAUGCCUUUGAUGGUUAAUUUUAGGUAUCAACUUGACUGGAUUACUUUUAGAUGUCAGCUUGACCGGAUACCCAGAUAACUGGUAAACAUUAUUUCUGCAUAUGUCUGCGAGGGUGUUUCCAGUACAUGUUCACAAGAUUAGCAUUUGAAACAGUGGGCUGAGUGGGGGCAGGCACCAGCCAAUCAACUGAGGGCCUGGAUAGAACAAAAAGGCUGAAGAAAGGAAGAUUUAUUUUCUUUCUUUUUCGGAGAUGGAACACACUUUUUUGCUAGCCCUUGGACAUCAAGACUCAAGGUCCUCUGCCCUUUGGCCUUCAAGACUUGCACCAGCAGCCCUGCAGGUUAUCAAGCCUUCAGAAUUUUAAUUUAUGAGCAGCCAUCUGAGUGGAAAUGAACAGCCAAAGGAAUUGCUUUGAAGCCACAGAUCAUAGUAAACACACUGUAUUCUCUUAGUUUGCUUAUUUGGAAUGACUGUCAGCAUGGUGAAGAGGCAUAAAUAUCACCCUUUGGCACCUGGGUGCCAUUCACAUUCAAGUGUACUCUUCAGGUAGGAAAGUAAAUGGAUGUAUUUUAGAACAAUUUUCCACACUAAGGAUUGUAAUAGGAACCCAUCAUAGCAGAUUACUUUUUGUCUCCUGUGUUCCAUCAGCUAGGCUUGCCUCCUGUUGCAGUCACAGUCCCACCCACCUCAUGCUGACAGUUGGCACUCCCACAAGUGCAUACCCUACACCUUACAUUCUGCCUCAGUACCUUUUCUGGGACUUCUAGAAGCUACUGGACCCAGAGCAAGCCCAGCUCCUGAGGGUGAGGAAGUUAAUUCCCAGGGGCAACCCUCAUCUCAAAGGGGUUGGGGUGGAUGAAUACCCCAGCCUCCCAUCUUUGGGGUAGACAAUUCUGGAAAGCAUUCCACACACUUCUCAGAUGUCCAGCAGAAUCAAGCCACCAUUUCCCAGAGCGGCAGUCUCAGUAUUGGCUUUUGUUCCUUCCCUGUUCUAUCCUUCUUAUUCCCUCACUCUCAGUUCUUGGGAUCAGCUCCCAUAUAAAAAAUAUAAAGCAGACUUCAGAAAAAGAAAACUAUCAGAGAUAAAUAGGGGCAUUUCAUGAUGACAAAGAGCUCAAUUCUCUAAGAAGACAUAACAAUCCUAAAUGUGUACGCACCUGACAAGGGAAUGUCAAAUACACGAGGUAAAAACUGAUAGAACUCCAAAAAGAAAUAGAUGAAUCCACUAUUAUAGCUGGAGAUUUAAACCCCCUCUUUCAGUAAUUGAUAGACCAAGCAGACAGAUAAUUUAUAAGAUAUAGUUGACCUGACUAGCACUAUCAAUCACUUCAAUCUAAUUUAUGCUUAUAGAAUACUUCACCCAACAACAGCAGAAUACACAUUUUUCUCAAGCUUACAUGGAACAUUCACCAAGAGAGACCACAUUCUGGGAUAUAAAACCAUACCUUGAUAAGUUUAAGAGGAUACAAAUCAUGCAAAGUAUGUUCUCAGACUGCAAUAAAAUUAGACUAGAAAUUAAUAAGAGAACAAUAGCUGGAAAUUUCCCAAAUAUUUGAAAACUAAGCAACACACUUCUAAA
rnacentral:lncRNA from 10 species